GACGAACGCUGGCGGCGUGCUUAACACAUGCAAGUCGAACGGAAAGGCCCUGCUUUUGUGGGGUGCUCGAGUGGCGAACGGGUGAGUAACACGUGAGUAACCUGCCCUUGACUUUGGGAUAACUUCAGGAAACUGGGGCUAAUACCGGAUAGGAGCUCCUGCUGCAGGGUGGGGGUUGGAAAGUUUCGGCGGUUGGGGAUGGACUCGCGGCUGAUCGGCUUGUUGGUGGGGUAGUGGCUUACCAAGGCUUUGACGGGUAGCCGGCAUGAGAGGGUGACCGGCCACAAUGGGACUAAGAGACGGCCCAGACGCCUACGGGAGGCAGCAGUGGGGAAUAUUGCCCAGUGGGCGGAAGUCUGAUGAAGCGACGCCGCGUGCGGAAUGACGGCCUUCGGGUUGUGAACCGCUUUCGCCUGUGACGAAGCGUGAGUGACGGUAAUGGGUGAAGAAGCACCGGCUAACUACGUG
rnacentral:rRNA from 1 species